UACGGGGGGAGCAAGCGUUGUUCGGAUUUACUGGGCGUAAAGGGCGCGUAGGCGGUCAGCACAAGUCAGUUGUGAAAUCUCCGGGCUUAACUCGGAAAGGUCAACUGAUACUGUGCGACUAGAGUGCGGAAGGGGCAACUGGAAUUCUCGGUGUAGCGGUGAAAUUGCGUAGAUAUCGAGAGGAACACCUGCGGCGAAGGCGGGUUGCUGGGCCGACACUGACGCUGAUGCGCGAAAGCCAGGGGAGCGAACGGG
rnacentral:rRNA from 1 species